rnacentral:tmRNA from 3 species
GGGGAUGUAUUGCAUCGACGUAACCGCUCUUUACCAAUUGCAGACCAUCUUUGACUAAAAGAUGUAAAAAAGAGUCAAACAAUUACAACUGCCAAAUCAAUGCGCAGCACAGUUGCUAACUUCGUGAACGAAGCCGUCGCCGGUUUCCAAUCAAUGUUUGCAGCUCCAGCUAAGCUUUACGCUUAACUAGGCAUCUAUGAAGACUCUCUCACUGACGGAACUUCAUAGGUGGAAACACAGUCCGUGUGCAAAGUAAUGCCAUUGCACAGCAUUACUCCAAGAAUUUGUGCAGGUUUUUUAAGAAUGGUUUGAAAGUAUUUCCACUUAAAAAACAACCAAAAAUUUUCUAAGUCUGUAGAAGUUGGCGAAACGUGAGUUAACGGACGGGGGUUCAUUACCCCCCAUCUCCACCA